AUUGAACGCUGGCGGCAGGCUUAACACAUGCAAGUCGAGCGAGCGGCGGACGGGUGAGUAAUGUCUGGGAAACUGCCUGAUGGAGGGGGAUAACUACUGGAAACGGUAGCUAAUACCGCAUACCAUCAGAUGGGCACAGAUGGGAUUAGCUAGUGGGUGGGGUAACGGCUCACCUAGGCGACGAUCCCUAGCUGGUCUGAGAGGAUGACCAGCCACACUGGAACUGAGACACGGCCCAAACUCCUACGGGAGGCAGCAGUGGGGAAUAUUCGACAAUGGGCGAAAGCCUGAUGCAGCCAUGCCGCGUGUGUGAAGAAGGCUUUCGGGUUGUAAAGCACUUUCAGCGAGGAGGCGGUACUCGCAGAAGAAGCAACGGCUAACUCCGUGCCAGCAGCCGCGGUAAUAC
rnacentral:rRNA from 1 species